ACCUCCUCCAGGAGCCCCGCCACCUCCUGCCACCCGGACUUUCCCCACAGCGCAGCGUCCCCUCGUCCUCUCAGGGCUGGAACAGCGGUACCCGCAGACAGUGCAAAAGGGAAGUCCCUGUUGCCUUCCCAUGCAAACUGUAGGGCGCUUACAGCUGCUGGGAGAGGAAAGGAAAGAAGAAAUACAAGCCUGUGACCCGGAUCCAACCCGCGGCGCACAGACCCCGGCUCUGGGCACCCCUGGUGAGCGCCUUCUGCGCCAGAGCUCCGUACAGCACCAGCCCGCGCUCUCCCCCAGCUUCUGUUCAUUUGCUGCAGUCCUGACGGAGACACUGCGUUAUCACUGUCAAGGCAGCUUUGCAGAGAGCUCUACCAUCAAAGCCGCCAGGAAGACAGACCUCCACAGGAACCUGGGAGGGCCAGCAGCAUGGGGAGGGCCAUGUGUAAAGAAAGAAGGCUUGAAGGUGGCCACACAAGGCCAGGGCUCCCCACAGGACGGCGGGAGGUGUGGCACUGAUAACAGAUAUGGCCCAGUGGGAUGACAUGGCAGACUUCCCACCUGCCUAUAGUCCUGAGAAGCGACAUGGCUGACUUAGGGAGUUUAUUUUAGUUUGCUGUUGGGUGUCAGCUCCUCUAAGACACAAGCUGGUGCUGGCAAAGUAAAAGAAAGCUGGGCUUGCUUGAAAAGUGACUUGAUUAUAUCAACAUGUCUAAUGUCUCUUGUCUGCUUCUCCUUUGUCUGAGAGAUGGGGGAAAGCUGGGAGCAAAGCCAGUCUGUGUCACCUGCAUUUGAGCAGCAUGUGAGGCCUGCAGACAUUUCUCCUGCCAGCUGUCCUUUGGGUGGCAGAUGCAUUCCCCACAUUGCAGUGUGGCAUAGAUGGGGAGGCAGGGCUUUGAGCUCUCCCCUGUUUUCAACAUACACAUACUACACCUGCAAGGGCUCACACUACAAGUACAGGUGAAGAAGAGGUGGGAAAGAUUUAAGAUGUGUGAUUUACAUGUGGAAAUUAUAUGCAUUUUAGAAUACAUCUAUAUCUUUACAUUUCAUGUUAUAUAGAGCAUGCAUAGCAUGUGUAUGUGUAUAUAUAUCUAUAUGUCACAAUACAUACAGUAAAUUGUGGAAUCCA
ensembl:lncRNA novel transcript